UGUGUAGGCGGGAAGGUAAGCAUCCUGUGAAAGCCCCCGGCUCAACCGGGGAAUUGCGAGAUGUACUGCCUUUCUUGAGGCAAGUAGAGGUGCACGGAACUCUUGGUGGAGCGGUGGAAUGCGUAGAUAUCAAGAGGAACGCCGGUGGAGAAAUCGGUGCACUGGGCUCGUUCUGACGCUGAGGACACGAAAGCGUGGGGAGCAAACGGGAUUAGAUACCCCGGUAGUCCACGCUGUAAACUAUGUCUACUAGGUUGUGGAGGUUCUGACGCCGCCACGGCCGAAGCAAAAGUGUUUAGUAGACCGCCUGGGGAGUACGGCCGCAAGGCUAAA
rnacentral:rRNA from 1 species